rnacentral:misc_RNA from 1 species
AACGCACCUUGCGCCCUUUGGUAUUCCGAAGGGCAUGCCUGUUUGAGUGUCAUGAAACCUCACCCCACUUGGGUUUUUGCCUGAGCGGUGGUGUAUUGGGUGUUGCCUUGCUAAAGGCUCGCCUUAAAGACAUAAGCACCUUGGAUGUAAUACGUUUCAUCCUUCUGGGUGGCUGAUAACCCCACAUACUCAUGAUCUGGCCUCAAAUCAGGUAGGGCUACCCGCUGAACUUAA